AGCACUUGUGUAUGUUUUUGUUCAACUGAUGGACAAAGGCAGGCUAGACAGGUGCAAAAAUAAAUCCUCUUUUGCAACCCAGAACUCAUUGUUCAGUAUGAGUUUUGAUACAUACAAGAAGGAAUAUA
rfam:Neotoma lepida isolate 417 scaffold_661, whole genome shotgun sequence.